CUAACAGAUAUCCAUGAGAGAGCUGCUUAUAGCUAUUCGAUCAUUUAAUACUAACAACAAGCUCUCUCCUUUCUCUUUCUCUCCCUCUAUCUCUCUCUCUCUCUCUCUCUCUCUCUCUCCCCAAUGAGAUCUCUGUCUUUCUCUUUCAAAAAUGAAAACAGUCACUUUCUUCAACCUUGUCUCUCUUUUUCUUUACCCUUCAAAUUUGGAGGUCUACAGCUUCUUCUGUCAGUGCAAUCCUUUUCAAACUUAUUUGCUAUAGAUCUGCGUGUGUAUAUAUAAAACUAUUAUUGCAUUAUUUAGGGUAUAAAUAUGAAAAUCUUUUAUUAUUAAAAACAAAAUUAUCUUUUGUUUUGUGCUUAGUGAGGAUCAGUUAAGAGAGCUUUCUUCAGUCCACUCAUGGGUGGCAAUAGGAUUUAAUUAGCUGCCGACUCAUUCAUCCAAAUACUGAGUUAAGGACGAGCUGAUUAAGUUACCCAGUAAAUGAGUGAAUGAUGCGGGAGACAAAUUGAAUCUUAAGCUUCCUGUACUUGGACUGAAGGGAGCUCCCUUUUUCCUUCUUUAAUCAUAAAUCUUGUUUAGGUUACAAUUUAAUACUAUUUCUUAUGGUUGGCGAUGCUUCUGUUCAAUAUAAAAGUAUAACUAUAAAGUACUUUUGAUGCUCAUGAGAUAAUGCUAUAGCUUAAGAACCUUCAUGUACUUAUCCAUUCUGUUUAUGAGUAAUUCUUUAUCAUUAUCUUGUUUGCUGCUUUUGAUCUCUGUUAAGGUGUGCUUGCCGUUAUUCUUUUUCUUUUUUCUGAUAAUUUCUUUUUGGGUUAAAUUUCCAUUGUUGUUUCUCUCUUGAUAUCUUGCCUUCAAAGAACUAGGGUUAAGGAAUGUUAUGGUAAUCCCUUUUUAAUAAUAUUAAUAAUUUUGUUUGAGUUAGAUCAGCUAAUGAGGGCUUUUAGGGUUUUGUUUAUGAAGGUGCAGUUGUUAGUUGUAAAAGCUUAAUAAUGCUUAUAGCAUUAAAAUUAGGCAACCGCAUGAUGGAGAGAAGAAAGAAGCUCCUCGACAAUAGCUUCUUGUUCUUGGGUCUUGCUGUUCUGCAACAAGUUCCCAGACGGGCUAGACCUGUCUCCUAGUGGUUCAAUUACCCAAAUAUCCUCAAUACAAUACUGGUUUCUGUUCAAGAGUGGCAAAAUGUGUCACCACCAAAUCAUCAUGGAAGCUGGAAGACUAGAGAAAAGGCAGAUCAUGAGGACUUUUAAUAUUUUGUCUUUUAUCUUUCUUUCUAUUCAUUUCUCUAAUGUGAUUUUCUUGAACCACCAAGACCAGAUGCUCAUGUUUUGUUAUUUUCUAACUUUAUAUCUUGAUUUAUGAUAGUGGAUAGCACAAGAAAAAGGUACAUUACUUAGUUUGUUUUUUGUAUUCUUUGCUUAGAUUUGGUUCCCUUUAAGCAGAAAUCCACUUUGGAAGAUCCUUUGUUUGUGAGAAAAUAGUGGAGAGUACACAUAAUUUGUAAUUUCAACAUUUUCAGUAAUAAUAUUUUCGUUCAACAAUAGAAAA